GGAAGAAACACUUUGCUCGAGCUAUAAGCUUGGAUGUAACAUGCUCCAGUUUGGUGUGCUUUAAAUUCUUUGUACUAGAGCUACUUUUUUUGACUGUGUAUUCCCAACUAGUUUUGGGGAGUUAUUUUUUUCCCUGUUUGUGCUGCUUAUAAUUAUUUUUCUUAUGAAUGAUGAAUUUUUUGGCUGCACAAGGAAAUGUGUUUAUUGACUUUCCCAUUUCACUGUUAAUGUUGGUGAUGGUUCAUUUGUCCCUCAAAAUUUCCCUGGGAACCUCCCAACUUUUUCUCACAAGGUGGUGGCUAUGGACUGCCUUGAUAGUGUAAGAGUUGGUAUUUUAACAUUGCGGAAAUAAUGCAAAUUGUUUCUACCCCAUACAAUCCUGGAAAUUUC
rnacentral:misc_RNA from 1 species